CACGUAGGGCGCGAGCGUUGUCCGGAAUUAUUGGGCGUAAAGAGCUCGUAGGCGGCCUGUUACGUCCGCUGUGAAAGCCCGGGGCUUAACCCCGGGUCGGCAGUGGAUACGGGCAGGCUAGAGGUAGGUAGGGGAGAAUGGAAUUCCUGGUGUAGCGGUGAAAUGCGCAGAUAUCAGGAGGAACACCGGUGGCGAAGGCGGUUCUCUGGGCCUGUACUGACGCUGAGGAGCGAAAGCGUGGGGAGCGAACAGG
rnacentral:rRNA from 1 species